GGCGCCGUGGCUUUGUUGGUUAAAGCGCCUGUCUAAGAAACAGGAGAUCACGGUUCGAAUCUCGUCGUUGCCU
rnacentral:tRNA from 13 species